AUUGAACGCUGGCGUCCGGCCUAACACAUGCAAGUCGAGCGAGCGGCGGACGGGUGCGUAAUGUAUGGGGACUGCCCGAUCGAGGGGGAUAACUACUGGAAACGGUAGCUACUACCGCAUACUAUCGGAUAACCCAUAUGGGAUUAGCUAGUAGGUGAGGUAAUGGCUCACCUAGUCGACGAUCCCUCGCUGGUCUGAGAGGCUGAUCAGCAACACUGGGACUGAGACACGGCCCAGACUCCUACGGAGGCAGCAGUGGGGAAUAUGGCACAAUGGGCGAAAGCCUGAUGCAGCCAUGCCGCGUGUAUGAAGAAGGCCCUAGGGUUGUAAAGUACGUUCAGUCGGGAGGCGUUACCGACAGAAGAAGCACCGGCUAACUCCGUGUCAGCAGCCGCGGUAAUUC
rnacentral:rRNA from 1 species